rnacentral:rRNA from 1 species
AGGACGAACGCUGGCGGCGUGCUUAACACAUGCAAGUCGAGCGGAAAGGCCCUUCGGGGUACUCGAGCGGCGAACGGGUGAGUAACACGUGAGCAACCUGCCCUUGGCUCUGGGAUAGCCUCCGGAAACGGGGAUUAAUACCGGACAUUCACUGAUUCCUGCAUGGGGGGAUGGUGGAAAGUUUUUCGGCCAGGGAGGGGCUCGCGGCCUAUCAGCUUGUUGGCGGGGUAACGGCCCACCAAGGCGACGACGGGUA